CCUGGUUGAUCCUGCCAGUAGUCAUAUGCUUGUCUCAAAGAUUAAGCCAUGCAUGUGUAAGCACACACUGUUUUAAAAGUGAAGCCGCGAAUGGCUCAUUACAACAGCCACAGUUUAUUAGAACUUACAAUCAUGGAUAACUGUGGUAAUUCUAGAGCUAAUACACGCACAAAAACUUCAACUGAAUUGGUUGAAGUGCUUUUAUUAGAACAAAAACCGAACGGCGUUUGGCGAAUGUUGAACGUCGAAACUGUUUGGUGAAUCUGAAUAACUAUUUCUGAUCGCAUGGUCUAGCACCGGCGACAUCACUUUCAAGUGUCUGCCUUAUCAACCUUCGAUGGUAGUCUAUGCGACUACCAUGGUGAUAACGGGUAACGGAGAAUCAGGGUUCGACUCCGGAGAGGGAGCCUGAGAAACGGCUACCACAUCCAAGGAAGGCAGCAGGCGCGCAAAUUACCCACUCCCAGCUUGGGGAGGUAGUGACGAAAAAUAACGAGACGAUUCUCGUUUGAGAAACGUUAUCGAAAUGAGUACGCUUUACACACGCUAACGAGUAGCAAUUGGAGGGCAAGUCUGGUGCCAGCAGCCGCGGUAAUUCCAGCUCCAAUAGCGUAUAUUAAAGUUGCUGCGGUUAAAACGCUCGUAGUUGAAUUGUGGUCUUAGACAACAGUCCCCCUACAUAGGUGUGGCACGGUUGCUCGAGAUCUUCAUUCGUGGUUGCUGUUGUUGCUCUUCAUUGAGUGUCAAUGGUGCCUCGAGAUUUUACUUUGAAAAAAGAAUAAUGGUGCAUGGAAUAAUAGAAUACGAUCUCGGUUCUAUUUUGUUGGUUUUCGAACCGGAGAUAAUGAUUGAAAGGAACAGACGGGGGCAUUCGUAUUGCUGCGUUAGAGGUGAAAUUCUUGGAUCGCAGCAAGAUGAACAAUUGCGAAAGCAUUUGCCAAGAAUGUUUUCAUUAAUCAAGAACGAAAGUUAGAGGUUCGAAGGCGAUCAGAUACCGCCCUAGUUCUAACGGUAAACUAUGCCAACCAGCGAUUCGCCGAAGUUCAUUUAAGACUCGGCGAGCAGCUUCCGGGAAACCAAAGUGUUUCGGUUCCGGGGGAAGUAUGGUUGCAAAGCUGAAACUUAAAGGAAUUGACGGAAGGGCACCACCAGGAGUGGAGCCUGCGGCUUAAUUUGACUCAACACGGGAAAACUCACCCGGCCCGGACACUGGAAGGAUUGACAGAUUGACAGCUCUUUCUUGAUUCAGUGGGUAGUGGUGCAUGGCCGUUCUUAGUUGGUGGAGCGAUUUGUCUGGUUAAUUCCGAUAACGAACGAGACUCUACCCUAUUAAAUAGUGACAGUAUUGUAUUUUUUGUGCUGAUCACUUCUUAGAGGGACUGGCAAAUUGAAAGCUGCACGAAAAAGAGCAAUAACAGGUCUGUGAUGCCCUUCGAUGUCCGGGGCUGCACGCGCGCUACAAUGAAAGCGUCAACGUGAGUUACGUCCUUACCUGAAAAGGUUUGGCAAUCGAAUGAAACGUUUUCUUGAAUGGAAUAGGGAAUUGCAAUUGUUUCCCUUGAACGAGGAAUUCCCAGUAAGCGUGAGUCAUUAGCUCGCGUUGAUUACGUCCCUGCCCUUUGUACACACCGCCCGUCGCUACUACCGAUUGGAUGAUUUAGUGAGGUGUUUUGACUGGCGCCAGUAGUCGGAUGUAUUCGGCUUCGCGCCGGGAAAUUUCCCAAACCAAAUCAUCUAGAGGAAGUAAAAGUCGUAACAAGGUUUCCGUAGGUGAACCUGCGGAAG
rnacentral:rRNA from 1 species